GCAAUUGGAUUGAGAACAACGUACAAACCUUAUCGAUAAACAAUUGGAGGGCAAGUCUGGUGCCAGCAGCCGCGGUAAUUCCAGCUCCAAUAGCGUAUAUUAACGUUGUUGCAGUUAAAAAGCUCGUAGUUGAAAUGAAGGGUAGUUGUGUAAUGAAUACAUUCGUGUAUUUUGUUAUUCUACUACCCUCCUUCUAAAUUCGAUAUAUGAGUAUUAAUUUACUUGUAUAUGGUUUUAGACCUUUACUGUGAGAAAAUUAGAGUGUUCAAAGCAGGCAUUUGCUUGAAUAUAUUAGCAUGGAAUAAUCAUGUAUGAUUUUCAUGAUGUAUUUGAUUGGUUUGGUUCAUGAGAAUAAGAUUAAAAGGGACAGUUGGGGGUAUUCAUAUUCAAUAGUCAGAGGUGAAAUUCUCGGAUUUAUGGAA
rnacentral:rRNA from 1 species